GACGAACGCUGGCGGCGUGCUUAACACAUGCAAGUCGAGCGGUAAGGCCCUUUCGGGGGUACGACGAGCGGCGAACGGGUGAGUAACACGUGGGUAACCUACCCUCGAGACGUGGGAUAACCCAUCGAAAGAUGAGCUAAUACCAGAUAUGACCACGGAAGUUUCGGCUUCUGAGGUGAAAGAUGGCCUCUGCUUGCAAGCUAUCACUCGGGGAUGGGCCUGCGCGCCAUAGUCUAGUUGGUGGGGUAACGGCCCACCAAGGCUACGAUGCUAGUUGGUCUGAGAGGAUGACCAGCCACACUGGGACUGAGACACGGCCCAGACUCCUACGGGAGGCAGCAGUGGGGAAUAUUGCGCAAUGGGGAAACCCUGACGCAGCGACGCCGCGUGGGUGAUGAAGGCC
rnacentral:rRNA from 1 species